rnacentral:lncRNA from 1 species
UAGCAUGCUGGACUUGGGCCUGAUUUUGACGCGCUCCUCACCUAUAAAUACCCCUACUACGAAUUCAGAGUCAUUCUUUUGACAGGGGAGAACGACCAGACCUAAUUUUGCUCUCUGGAGAGGAUCUCUUGGAUGCUUAGGCUCCUUUUCAUCUUUUCUAGGGUUUGCUCUUUCAUUCUUCUUCCAUUUUUCAUCUAGUUUCACCAUGUCUAUGGUGAACUAAACCCUAUUGUUGUUGGGGAAUUCAAUGUAAUCUUUUG